rnacentral:rRNA from 1 species
UGGGGAAUCUUGCGCAAUGGGCGAAAGCCUGACGCAGCAACGCCGCGUGCGGGAUGAAGGCCUUCGGGUUGUAAACCGCUUUCAGGAGGGACGAACGUGACGGUACCUCCAGAAGAAGCCCCGGCUAACUACGUGCCAGCAGCCGCGGUAAUACGUAGGGGGCAAGCGUUAUCCGGAUUCAUUGGGCGUAAAGCGCGCGUAGGCGGCUUGUUAAGUCAGAUGUGAAAACCGGGGGCUCAACCCGCGGCCUGCAUCUGAAACUGACAGGCUUGAGUCUGGUAGAGGAAAGUGGAAUUCCUGGUGUAGCGGUGAAAUGCGCAGAUAUCAGGAGGAACACCAGUGGCGAAGGCGGCUUUCUGGGCCACGACUGACGCUGAGGCGCGAAAGCUAGGGGAGCGAACAG